CACUAAACCCCCACAGAGGGCACCUGACGUCAAUGAAAAAAGCCAAGCAAUCGCAAAGCAACGCCAUAGUUUUCCAUAUUUUUUGUGUCUGAAAGGGAAUUCCCAAAUAGAAACUGUCAAAAGAAAAUAGUUAUUGGAGCAACAGUUAAAAAGGUUCGAGGUUGUGAAGGAUGUCAUCUGGAGAGCCACCUUCUUCCUCCAUGAUGACUUCACCUGGACCAGGCCCUGGCACACCACAGCCAUCACCAAUAACCCACCCAACUGCUUCUCCUGCACCCCAUUCUCAUCCAAACCCAAAUGCUGGAAAUCAGCAGCAGCAAGUGGCUUCCCCAAUGGCUCCUCCUCAACCACCAUCACCUAUGAACCAUCCCCAAUCAUCUCCAUCACCCAUGGGACCACCAAUGCAGCAACAUCCACCUCCACAGUUCCAGCAACAACCACAACAACAACAGCAAGCUUAUCCACCUCCAAUGUCAGGAGCUGUUUCAAUGGGCCCCCCUCACCAGCCGAUGCAACAAGCAAUAAGGCAACAUCAUGGUGGAAUCCCACAGCCUCAUUACAUGGCAGCAGGGGGAGGCUAUCCUCCAGUUUCACACCAUCAGCCUCCACAGCAAGCAAAUUACCCAUCACAGCCAGGUGGCCCGAUUCCUCAGCCAUCUCAACAACAACCUGGAGCACCACCUUAUCCACCUGACAACAUUAAUGCUUUACAAAGAGCAAUAUCUACAAUGGAAGACCGGGGUCUGCAAGAUGAUCCUCGGUAUUCUGCCCUCCUUGCCAUGCGAGCUAAACAAGGGGGAAUGGCACCGACUAGCCAUAGCCCUGGUCCUCCGUUAGACCCCAACAGGCAAGCAGGUGCACCUUCUCCGUAUGGACCACCCAACUCUGCGGCGCUGAAUGGCAAUUCUUCCGGACCAGAAGGAGCCAACUCCAUGAAAUCAUCAUUCCUGUCACCAACUCAAGUGCACCAGCUUCGAGCGCAAAUUAUGGCAUAUCGUUUAUUGGCUCGGAAUCAGCCUGUGCCCACCAAUAUUGGAAUGGCUGCACAAGGGAAAAGGACGGAUCUACCUUCACUGCAGGCACAACCGAGUUCGGUAUCCCAGCUUGACCAGCAACAGCAGCAAAUGUACGUCUCUUCCCCAUCACAGCCCGGACAACCUUUCCAGAGACCUACCGCUCCUACCGUUCCUUCGUCUCCGAUGCAACCUUCCAAUGUUAGACCAAUGGGCCCUACAUAUCCUUCUCAGCAACCCGUGGCACCAUCAGCAGGUGGGCAACAGCCACAGCUCCCAUCUAUGGGCCCCUCACCAUCGGCCGGAACGCCGACAUCUGCAACUACUGCGAGUCCAGUCCCGGGAACCAUACCAACUCCCCGACCUCCCCAACCGCAGGUUCCAAUACAUCCCAUGCAACCAUCGCAGGGAGCCACCGCUCCUACAGCAAUUCAGAUGGGAAAUGCUGCGCUGCAACCCAUUAUAGCACCACCGGUGGUUUCUGCUCCCAACGCAUCGUUGAUGCAGCAACAACCUGUGAUGCCUCAUUCUCAACAGAUACAGCCACAGCAACUGCAGCAGCAAACGCUCGUCUCCAAACAAAACAAAGUUACCCCAAUAGCUAAGCCGGCGGGACUAGAUCCCGUGGUAAUUUUGCAGGAGAGAGAAAAUCGCAUGGCCAGCCGUGUUGCCUAUCGAAUUGAAGAGUUGAGCAACCUGCCUACUACGAUGGGCGAAGAUCUACGAGUAAAGGCGCAGAUUGAGUUGCGCGCACUACGAUUACUUAACUUCCAGAGGCAGUUGCGCUCUGAAGUAUUGGCUUGCACAAGAAGAGACACGACACUAGAAACAGCUGUGAACGUAAAGGCUUAUAAGAGGACCAAGAAACAAGGACUACGAGAAGCUCGAGCGACUGAGAAGUUGGAAAAACAACAGAAAAUGGAAGCCGAGCGCCGUAGGCGUCAAAAACACCAAGAGUACCUCACGGCUGUUCUCCAACACGGCAAAGAUCUCAAGGAGUUCCAUCGUAAUAAUCAGGCCAAGAUUGUGCGCAUCAACAAAGCGGUUAUGUUACACCAUGCUAACGCAGAGCGCGAACAGAAGAAGGAACAGGAGCGCAUUGAAAAAGAACGUAUGCGUCGCUUGAUGGCUGAAGAUGAAGAAGGCUAUCGUAAGCUGAUUGAUCAGAAAAAAGACAAGCGUCUUGCCUUCCUUCUUCAGCAAACUGACGAAUACAUUGCCAAUCUCACGGAGAUGGUCAAACUUCAUAAGACGGAACAACGACGAAAAAUGAAGGAGCAGCAAAUGAUGAAGAGACGCAUCCAGCGAAACGAUGAUGGAACAGUUGUUGAUGAUUUCCAUGUUACCGUUGUAGAAACGGCUACCGGAAAUAUCCUUAAAGGCGAGGAAGCCCCGCUUGCGUCCGUUCUUCAGACCUGGUUGGAAGCUCAUCCUGGCUGGGAAGAAGCAACUGAGGAGGAAGAGCAACGUAACGAGCAAGAGCGCGAAGAAGAGACCAAAGUAGUAGUAAAAGACGAAUCCGAGAUAAGUGACGAAACUGCUUCAGGAGUCAUAAGAAAAGUUAAGGCUUUGGAUGACGAGUACAAGACUGACGAUGGCGAGAAAAACUACUACUCUAUUGCCCACACGGUACACGAAAAGGUUCAUGGACAGGCCAGCAUUUUGAUCAAUGGCAAAUUGAAAGAGUAUCAAGUGAAAGGCUUGGAAUGGCUUGUCUCUCUCUAUAACAACAAUCUAAACGGAAUUCUGGCUGAUGAAAUGGGUCUUGGCAAAACCAUUCAAACCAUUGGAUUGAUCACAUACUUGAUGGAAGUUAAAAAAAACCCAGGACCGUAUCUGAUUAUUGUGCCGUUGUCAACGCUUUCCAACUGGUCUUUGGAGUUCGAAAAAUGGGCUCCGUCCGUCAAUGUAGUAUGCUAUAAGGGUUCACCUACAGUACGCCGCAUUGUUCAAAAUCAAAUGAGAGCUGUCAAAUUCAAUGUGCUUCUUACGACCUACGAGUACAUCAUUAAGGAUAAGUCAAUUUUGGCCAAGUUACCAUUUAAGUACAUGAUUAUCGAUGAAGGACAUCGUAUGAAGAACCAUCAUUGUAAAUUGACCCAGGUGUUAAACACGCAUUACUUGGCGCCACAUCGCUUACUGUUGACUGGUACACCACUCCAGAACAAACUGCCUGAAUUGUGGGCUUUAUUGAACUUCUUGCUGCCAUCCAUCUUCAAAUCGGUUUCUACUUUUGAGCAAUGGUUCAACGCCCCCUUUGCCACUACUGGCGAAAAGGUGGAACUCAAUGAAGAAGAAACAAUUUUGAUUAUUCGUCGUCUCCACAAAGUGCUACGCCCUUUCCUUCUCCGUCGCCUCAAGAAGGAAGUAGAAUCGCAGUUGCCGGACAAGGUCGAAUACAUUGUCAAAUGCGACAUGUCUGGCUUGCAAAAAGUCCUAUACCGGCACAUGCAGAGCAAAGGUGUCAUGCUUACUGAUGGGUCCGAGAAAGAUAAGAAAGGCAAAGGAGGUGCCAAGGCCCUCAUGAACACUAUUAUGCAGCUCAGAAAGCUUUGCAAUCACCCUUUCAUGUUCCAGCAUAUCGAAGAAGCCUAUUGUGAACACAUGAACGUACCGGGUGGACUUGUUUCGGGUCCCGAUUUGUAUCGCACUUCGGGCAAAUUUGAACUCCUAGAUCGCAUUCUCCCGAAAUUGAAGCAUUUGAAUCAUCGCGUUCUUCUCUUCUGUCAAAUGACACAACUAAUGACUAUCAUGGAGGACUAUCUUAAUUGGAAGAGCUUCAAGUAUCUGCGAUUAGACGGUACGACGAAAGCUGAUGAUCGUGGCGACCUGUUGAAGAAGUUCAACGACAAGUCUUCGGAUUAUUUCCUUUUUCUGCUUUCAACUCGCGCUGGUGGCUUAGGUCUAAAUCUUCAAGCAGCAGACACCGUCAUCAUCUUUGAUUCGGAUUGGAACCCUCAUCAGGACUUGCAAGCGCAGGAUCGUGCCCAUCGUAUUGGGCAAACCAACGAAGUGCGUGUUUUACGGCUGAUGACCGUAGGCUCUGUAGAAGAGCGUAUUCUGGCUGCUGCGAGGUACAAGUUGAAUAUGGACCAGAAAGUCAUCCAGGCUGGUAAAUUUGAUCAAAAAUCGACUGGAGCAGAUCGUCGCCAAUUCCUACAGACAAUUUUACAUGCGGAUGAAAUGGAAGACGAGGAGGAGAACGAAGUCCCCGAUGAUGAAACAGUCAAUCAAAUGAUAGCUCGCAGCGAGAGCGAAUUUGAGCUAUAUCAACGUAUGGAUAUCGAACGGCGAAGAGAAGAGGCUCGCCAAGGAGCGGCAAGAAAACCGCGUCUGAUGGAAGAAUCUGAACUGCCGGAAUGGAUGUCCAAGGACGAAGAGGAGGUGGAACGGUUAACGUGCGAAGAAGAAGAAGAACGCGUGUUUGGUCGAGGAAAUCGUCAGAAGAAGGAUGUCGAUUAUGGCGAAAGCCUCACCGAAAAAGAGUGGCUUAAAGCUAUUGGUGCCAUGGAAGAAGAAGGCAACGUAGAUGAUGACGAAGAGGAAGAAGAGCCCGGUCCAAGUGGACGUGGCUCCUCUAAACGAUCGCGGGCCACUGGCGGUUCGCGUCGCAAGCGCCAGCGAGGCGACGGCGAUGGAGGCAAUGAAGAUGAUGAGCCGUCGAACAAAAAGCGGCGAGGAGGAGGUCGGUCGCUAAACGCCGAAAAGGAUAGCAGCGUCAGUGCGCCACUCAAACGCAAGCUGAAGAAAAUUCUGGAAGCCGUUAUGAAAUACACUGACGCCGAGGGUAGAAUGCUCAGUCAACCUUUCAUGAAGCUACCAACCCGUAAAGAACUACCCGAUUACUAUGAAGUAAUCAAGAAACCUAUCGACAUCAAUAAAAUCCUGCAGCGACUUCAGGCGGACAAAUAUAUGGAUUUCGACGAUCUGGAGCGCGAUUUCAUGUUGCUCUGUAAAAACGCACAAAACUAUAACGAAGAGUCGUCGCUCAUUUACGAAGACUCGGUUGUUCUUCAGUCCGUCUUCACCAGUGCUAGACAACGUAUAGAGGAAGAACCGGAAGAGCCUCAACAGCCACCGCCACAGCAACAACAUCAGGAAGAUGAAGGCAACGAUGAUGACGACGCGCAACCCAGUGAAUCGGAUGACAAUUCGAACGCGGCAUCUUCGGUGAAAGUCAAGAUCAAACUUGGUAAAAACCGUAGCGGUAAGAACAGCGAUGGCAGCGGUCAUGCCACCCCUGCCGGCGGGAGGAGCAAGCGGAAACGAACCAGCCGGAAAUACGUGAGCGACGAAGAGGACGAUUUCGGGGAAGAAGAGGCAAGUUAUCAUUAGGUGUUGGAUGAUUCCUACUAACGACCACCCCGCCUAUGUUGUCAUUGUUUUGGAAGGUACUAGUGAACGAACUUCUUCUCGUAGUUCAUCACGCGUAGCCUCACCUGCACCUUCUCGUCGUAACCGUUAAAUCAUGUACUAAUUUUAUCUUUGACCCGCUUUCCUCAUUCACCUCCGUGUUUAAUCUUUAUAGAGCCGUUACAGCGAAAAUGCAUGUUGACGAUCCAACACCAAAAGUCGAUUGAUUAAUUUAAGCUCCUCUCCUUACCUUUGUCUCAUGUCCCUCUUACACUUAUCAUCAUCGUGUAUGUCGAGUUUUAUCUUUCGCUAUUCGGUGAAGAGCUCUCUCCAUUCUUACGAUUUCUUUUUUUUUUUUUUUUUUUUUUUUUGUGUGUGUGUCUUGGAACACGUUGUCGAUUUGAGAAGGACUAGCUCGUUCACCCGAACUCAGUAUAACAUUUUUGGUUGGAUAAUAAACGUCACCAAGCCAAAUCAUUGGUUUGAAUUUUUUUGGUA